rnacentral:rRNA from 1 species
CCUAUCUGCAGUUCGAGCGAAUGGAUUAAGAGCUUGCUCUUAUGAAGUUAGCGGCGGACGGGUGAGUAACACGUGGGUAACCUGCCCAUAAGACUGGGAUAACUCCGGGAAACCGGGGCUAAUACCGGAUAACAUUUUGAACCGCAUGGUUCGAAAUUGAAAGGCGGCUUCGGCUGUCACUUAUGGAUGGACCCGCGUCGCAUUAGCUAGUUGGUGAGGUAACGGCUCACCAAGGCAACGAUGCGUAGCCGACCUGAGAGGGUGAUCGGCCACACUGGGACUGAGACACGGCCCAGACUCCUACGGGAGGCAGCAGUAGGGAAUCUUCCGCAAUGGACGAAAGUCUGACGGAGCAACGCCGCGUGAGUGAUGAAGGCUUUCGGGUCGUAAAACUCUGUUGUUAGGGAAGAACAAGUGCUAGUUGAAUAAGCUGGCACCUUGACGGUACCUAACCAGAAAGCCACGGCUAACUACGUGCCAGCAGCCGCGGUAAUACGUAGGUGGCAAGCGUUAUCCGGAAUUAUUGGGCGUAAAGCGCGCGCAGGUGGUUUCUUAAGUCUGAUGUGAAAGCCCACGGCUCAACCGUGGAGGGUCAUUGGAAACUGGGAGACUUGAGUGCANAAGAGGAAAGUGGAAUUCCAUGUGUANCGGUGAAAUGCGUANANAUAUGGAGGAACACCA